ensembl:lncRNA
GCCUCGCUCGGACUCUGCCCACUGUCCCCCCGCUUCAAAUGCUCCCCUUACGCGUGCGAGCAAUUUGUUCUCGCCUCGUGCUCCUGUCUCCCGACUGUUUCCCACAUUCUCAUCUCCAGCCCCAUCUUAGUCUGCGUGUUCUCAGCGAGCUCUCUCCUGGACCCUGGUGAGGCACCCGCCCUCUCAGCCUCUCAGCCUUCGCUGUGCCGGGCAGAGGCCCCUGGGAGGACCGGCUCUGUCCCCGCGACAUCAGGUCCUCGUGGUCGCGUCCGCUGCCUCGGAAGAGUCCCCGGACUUGGUCCCCGCUCUCGUCGUGAGUUCACAAGGAAGUUUGGUCCCUGUUUUCUCAUCCAUUUGUGGACUCCUGGGAGCCCGUGUUCCAAUUGUAGCCACCUCCCCUGGGGUUCCCACGGUCACCCUGCUUCAGUGGUCACCCUGGAUUCGUUCGAGGGGACGGUCACCCUGCUGCUGGUGGGGACUGGAUAUGUCCGUGACUUUGCAAGGAACGCGUCUGUGCCACCGCUUUCCCUCGUCUGUGACGUUUUCUCCAGAGGGCAGGACUGCAACGGAAGCAGACCGCAUGGCCCCCCAGGGCCGUCCAGCAGCCGAGGGGGUCGUGCUGUGGGAGGCUGCUGGCGUGCAGACCGAGACCCUGGGCUUCCGCGCCCGGAGACGGCAGCCAAGCCGGGCCAGCCUGACCAGGGCUCAGCACACGCUCUGCUCGGAACUGCGGGGAGCCCCUGGCUGGGGGCAGUGAGGAGUAAGUGAGGGAAUGCUGAGCCCUGCAAGGACAGUUUGCUCGAUGCUGUUGGAAAAUGUCUCAUCGCCCAGCUGGGCUGGGGGCUGGGGGGAGGUUGGCUCACUGGUACCCCUGAGGUGGCUUUGCACCCACAGACCCUCCCUUAGGCAAGGGCUAGUACGGUGUGGCCUGGCUUGGUCAUUGGUCGUUCACCCCGUGAGCAGAGCCCUUCCAGGGAAGCGAAGGGAUGGUAAGGACCAGCCUGUUGGAUUUCCUGAAGCCUUCGUCUUCCCUGGCCUUGGGGAAGGGGAAUUUGGGUUCUGAUUUCUUUCUUUGAUGCUAAUGAUCCGGGUAGUUUUAUUUUUUAUUUAUUUUUAAGAUUUUUUUUUUUAAUUUUUGAGAGAGAGAGCACACAAGCAGGGUGAGGGGCAGAGGGAGAAACCGACUUCCCGCUGAGCAGGGAGCCCAACUUGGGGCUCGAUCACAGGACCCCAAGAUCACAACCUGAGCCAAAGGCAGACGCUUCACUGACUGAGCCACCCAGGCGCCCCUGAUGAACGGGGCGGGUUUAAUAGGCCACUGACCUGCUCUCAGGACAAACAGCAUCCUGGUUUGUCCAGGUCUGUGGUUUUCCAGCAGGUAGGGCUCAGCACUAAAACUGGGUCCCAAACCAGGACAAGCUCCUCUCACUCUCUUUUUCAUUGGAGGCCACUGGGAGAGGAGAGAGACCGGAGGGCAGAGAGGGUCCUCUGAGCCCCCAGGAGCCCAGGGGUCCGCCAUCCUGCUGACACGCGUCCACGUGUCACCCACUGCUCUCCUCCCCGGCAGUCUGAAAUUUCUCAGACUGUUGCUGCCACCCCUGUGCGCCCAUCCCAGGCAACACCGCCUCCCUGGUUACUUUAACGUCCAACACUCAGGACCUAGGGCACAGGUGUGGCCUGACCUGUGCAGAUAAGCGUGUCAUGUCUACUCCUCAAUUCUACACAUCCUACCUUCAUUUAUACAACCUAAAACCUCAUCCUCUUCUGAAGAGCAGUGUCCUCCUUCUCUCUGACCUGCCUGAGACUAAAAUCUACCAGACGGCCCCUUCCAAGUCCUGUUCUUGUAAUACACUCAAAGGUUUUGCAGCCUUAGAAGAACUUGUGAACCUGGAUGGAGGGGAAGGAGGGAUUGGAGCAAGCGGGUUUGGCCAGGCUGGGACGAGAGCGCAGAGGCUGCAUGACCAGUGGUCGGGGAAAGGCAAGCGACGGUGGUGCCCACAUUUGCUGAAUGAGGAAGCAAAUGUCUUUAUUGAGAAAAUGCGUGGCUGGUGAGAUCAGAGGUCCCUGCUCUCACCCUCAGGGAUGGGAGACUGCGUUGGUGUGGGUGAAAGGCACAAAACAGAGAGGGUCCCAGGAGGGAACAGGGGGAGGUCUCCGAGCCCGUGCUCCCGCCCCCGAGAGCAUCCGGACCAGCCCUCCCGGCGGCCACUGCGCGCGCGGUCGGCCCCUAUCUACACCGGCCGCAUCUUCAUCUCCGACACCUUGUAGCUGUAGUUGUAGCCUUUCCCCGACUUCCAGUUGACGCCGUUUGCAAAGGACUCGUGGGAACCCCGGAGGUAGAGACCAUUGAGGUUUGACGAGUGACAGAAACUGUACCACCAGCCCCCCUGGUAGCGGUCCGCACAGUUUUCAGAAUUUGAGUCGUUGUCCUGGUCUUUGGUGGAGAAGGGCUGGUCGUUGUGGUAUGUCAGGGAAUCACCGGCAUGGAAGGAGAACGGGCCAUUUUAUUUGGAUCCCAGGUCUAGGCAGGAACUGCAGUGACCGGGUGUUCAAGAUGUGCACUGCACAAGUCUAGGGGGUGCCAGGGAACACUUGCUCUCUGGUACAGUGGCCUUGGUGUCCUGUCACCCCAUCUGUCCCUGCCAGCCGGCAGGCCCCUGUCUUGGAGGGAGGCCACUCUCUGCCCCGGACCCCCAGGUUCCUCGGCAGGGAGCUCCGGGCACCAGGAAGCAGGAACUCGGGCUC